rnacentral:piRNA from 1 species
UCAGAAAAUUAAAGUGACUUUUCU